rnacentral:rRNA from 1 species
AGAUUGAACGCUGGCGGCAUGCCUUACACAUGCAGGUCGAACGGUAGAGUAGCAAUACUCGAGAGUGGCGAACGGGUGAGUAAUAUAUCGGAACGUGCCCAGUCGUGGGGGGAUAACGUAGAGAAAUUUACGCUAAUACCGCAUACGAUCUAAGGAUGAAAGCGGGGGAUUCGCAAGAACCUCGCGCGAUUGGAGCGGCUGAUAUCAGAUUAGGUUGUUGGUGAGGUAAAAGCUCACCAAGCCGACGAUCUGUAGCUGGUUUGAGAGAACGACCAGCCACACUGGGACUGAGACACGGCCAGACUCUACGGAGGCAGCAGUGGGAAUUUGGACAAUGGCGAAAGCUGAUCCAGCAAUGCCGCGUGCACGGAAGAAGGCCUUCGGUUAGUAAACUGCUUUUAGUACGGAACGAAACGGUUACCUUUACUAAGUAAAGAAGGACUAA